GACGAACGCUGGCGGCGUGCCUAAUACAUGCAAGUUGAGCGCUGAAGGCUGGUACUUGUACCAACUGGACGAGCAGCGAACGGGUGAGUAACGCGUGGGGAAUCUGCCUUUGAGCGGGGGACAACAUUUGGAAACGAAUGCUAAUACCGCAUAAAAACUUUAAACACAAGUUUUAAGUUUGAAAGAUGCAAUUGCAUCACUCAAAGAUGAUCCCGCGUUGUAUUAGCUAGUUGGUGAGGUAAAGGCUCACCAAGGCGAUGAUACAUAGCCGACCUGAGAGGGUGAUCGGCCACAUUGGGACUGAGACACGGCCCAAACGCCUACGGGAGGCAGCAGUAGGGAAUCUUCGGCAAUGGACGGAAGUCUGACCGAGCAACGCCGCGGGAGUGAAGAAGGUUUUCGGAUCGUAAAACUCUGUUGGUAGAGAAGAACGUUGGUGAGAGUGGAAAGCUCAUCAAGUGACGGUAACUACCCAGAAAGGGACGGCUAACUACGUG
rnacentral:rRNA from 1 species